rnacentral:rRNA from 1 species
UAACUUGAGAGUUUGAUCCUGGCUCAGAACGAACGCUGGCGGCACGCUUAACACAUGCAAGUCGAACGAGAUUAUGGGUUCGCUCAUAAUUUAGUGGCGCACGGGUGAGUAACACGUGGCUACCUGCCCAUCGAUGGUGGAUAACUCCGGGAAACUGGAGCUAAUACAGCAUACGCUCGAGAGAGGAAAGGCCGAGAGGUCGUCGAUGGAGGGGGCUGCGUCUGAUUAGGUAGUUGGUGAGGUAACGGCCCACCAAGCCGAUGAUCAGUAGCUGGUCUGAGAGGAUGGUCAGCCACACUGGAACUGAGAUACGGUCCAGACUCCUAUGGGAGGCAGCAGUGGGGAAUAUUGGACAAUGGGGGCAACCCUGAUCCAGCGAUGCCGCGUGAGUGAUGAAGGCCUUAGGGUUGUAAAGCUCUUUAGACAGGGACGAUAAUGACGGUACCUGUAGAAUAAGCACCGGCUAACUCUGUGCCAGCAGCCGCGGUAAUACAGAGGGUGCUAGCGUUGUUCGGAAUUACUGGGCGUAAAGGGCGUGUAGGCUGUUGCGUAAGUCAGAUGUUAAAGACCCGGGCUUAACCUGGGGGGUGCGUUUGAUACUGCGUGACUAGAGUGCAGGAGAGGAGAGUGGAAUUUCCGGUGUAGAGGUGAAAUUCGUAGAUAUCGGAAGGAACACCAGUGGCGAAGGCGACUCUCUGGACUGCUACUGACGCUGAGGCGCGAAAGCGUGGGGAGCAAACAGGAUUAGAUACCCUGGUAGUCCACGC